CUACGGAGGAUGCGAGCGUUAUCCGGAUUUAUUGGGUUUAAAGGGUGCGUAGGCGGGCUGUUAAGCGUGAGGUGAAAGCUCGGGGCUCAACCCCGGAACUGCCUCGCGAACUGGCGGUCUUGAAUGUCCGUGCCGUGGGAGGAAUGGGUGGGGUAGCGGUGAAAUGCAUAGAGAUCACACAGAACACCGAUUGCGAAGGCAUCUCACGAACGGAUGAUUGACGCUGAGGCACGAAAGCGUGGGGAUCAAACAGGAUUAGAUACCCUGGUAGUCCACGCAGUAAACGAUGAUAACUAACCGCUGGUGCGCAGGUAUCAGUGGCCAAGCGAAAGCGAUAAGUUAUCCACCUGGGGAGUACGACCGCAAGGUUGAAACUCAAAGGAAUUGACGGGG
rnacentral:rRNA from 1 species